CUUCAUUUCACACCCCACUUACGCGAUUCCACGCUCAUCCCCUCUGAAUGCUUCAUCGGCGGCGCUAUCAGCCUUGCUCCGCCGUCUCACCGAACCUCUAUUGCACUCAACUUCCAUCGGCUUUGCUCACAUCCCGUCGCACCCCUUCCCGGUUCAUCUUUGUCGCACCCCUUCGGUUGGUCUUGCUCGCAUCGCUCCCUUUCGAACCCUAAUGUGCGUUUCUCUCUUCGUUCUCACCACUAGUGCUUGCUCUUUUCCGUGUGUUGCUGUGUUUCUCUCUUCAAUCUUGCCUCGGUUGUACAGGAAAAGAUACUAAUGCUACUGAUAUGGGAAAUAAGGGUAGUUGGUUUUUUGCAAUAACGAGGGUUUUCACACACCACUCUAAGGAGAAGCAAGUACCUAAUGAUUCGGAGAACAAAAGCUCGAAAGAUAAGAAGAAGAAAGGCCUAAGAAAACUAAGGCAUGGAGAGACCAAUUCAUUCAUCCCCCUCUUCAGAGAGCCAUGCAGCAUUGAGAAAAUUUUUGGCGACUUCGAAAGAGAGCAACAAUUACUAUCUGUAAGGCCUCCAACGCCUCUGGAGCAACCAAAACCAGCCCCUGUUGUCCCUCCUAGAGCUGCUUCUCCAAGGGCUCCUUCUCCGAGGGCUCCAUCUCCAAGAGCUGCGUAUUUUAUCUACCAAUUGGAACUACUGCAUUAUUUAUUUUUAUUUAUUUUCUCCUGCUCUAGUUGAGAAUGUUCGAGGAGAUGGGCUUCAAGGUUGAUCACUCCAGUCCUAUAUAUAAGCGCUUUCGUCUGAAAAUACUUGGCCCAUUUGAAUCCGGAAUAACUAGUACUGGUUCGCCAGCAUCUGGUGGAAAAGUUAGGAGUGCAAUUGCUGAAGUUAUUACUGCCUCCAUCCUUUCACGACUUCACAUUCUGGCACGUUUUGAUUAUAAUAUUUAAAUAGAUUGCUCGUUCUUUUUGUGUCUCCUCAGUCAGUUUCUUUUUCCUGAUUGUUUUUCAUUUCCAAGGUGAAUUUAACAAAGGCAGAAAGGGAGACAAGGUUGCAAAUGGAAAGGCUAAUGCUUCAAAAAGCCCAUCAGACCCUGGAAUUGAUCAAAAACUUCCAGAAAAUAUCAAAUGCCUAAUGGGAGGGAAUGAGGGAAUGAGGGAUGUUAUGUUAGGCUAAUUUCCCUUUGCCAAAAUUUAAAAGUAGAAUGUGUUUAUCAAUCUCUACUAAUCAUGAUUUUCUUACUAUACUUUCAGGUACAUAGAUGGCCAAGAAUGGGAGGGCAUAGAUUCAUAGGAAUUAUAUUUUUGCAUCAAUUUGGUGUCUAUGGAUUGCAACAAGUAGCAAGAUAUUUAGAGACAAAAUGGUUAACAGGAGUGAAAGCUCUAUAGCUAUGAGUGCCUUCCAUGUAGAUUACACACCUGAGAAAAGUGGUUUUUAUAAUAUACAUGUAUAUUAUGGAAAUGUCUUAUUGAAUAAGGGUCAUACACUCAGAAAAGAAGUAAAAGCAGGUGAAUUUAAUGGUUCCUUAUCAAAUGUGGUCAAGUUUUCUUCUAAGGUGGCAAAGAUGUCAGAAAAUGAAAUACUAGUGCAGCUUAUGGAUUCAUUUGCAAACCCUGUUCUUGCAUAACAAUCAAGGUUGAAGUUGGAGACUACUUCAGCUAACAAAUCUCUUUUUUAAACUUUGGACAUUAAGGAUAACAAGGAUGGUUCAUACAAUUGUACCUAUAUGGCUAAAGAUAUUGGAACUUAUGAGAUUUGUGCUUCCUUUGAUGGCAAGGAUAUUCUGCCAUGUCCCUUCAGUAUCAAUGUGUAUAGCAGUGAGUAUUUUUCCAAAGCCAACAAUGAUAUAGUAUCUGUUUUGGAGGAUCAAUCAAUUGCCAUUUAUGCUUUAGCAAAUGCUUAUAGAGAAGGAGUUCCAUGAUGCAUUGGAUAAUUUGCUUGAGGUGUUGGGGUCAAAUCUCCCUUUUUCCUAGUUGUUCAGGGAACAGUGGUGGCCCAGCAAUUAUGGGCAAUAAGGUUGCUGGAGUAGCAUUCCAAAAUCUUUCAGGAGCUGAGAAUAUAGGAAGAAAAAGGAAAGUAUACUGGAUUUUGCUCUCUGGGUUUGUCGUGCCAGCCAACUGAGAAUGUUCACCUUAGAAACCAUUUUGGCAUGCAACCUGACAUGACAGGGGUGCUAGUAAGCAAAAUUAACCCACUUUCAGAUGCACACAAUGUUCUGAAGAAAGAUGAUAUUAUACUUUCAUUUGAUGAAGUGCCUAUAGCAAAUGAUGGUACAGUUCCUUUCUGAAAUAGAGAGCGGAUAACAUUUGAUUACUUGGUGUCUAUGAAGCUGCCAAAUAAAAACGCAAUAGUCAGAGUUUUGCGGGAUGGGAAAGAGCAUGAACUUGAUAUCAUUCUCAGACCAGUACCACUAUUUCAGCACAUGAAUGAUCUGGUCUUUAGAGAUCGUGUGAAGAAAGUUGGGAUGAUGAAGAAGAAGCAGUAGCAACAGAAAGAGCAAGUGAAGUGAAUUUUGCAGAUGAGAUAAGUGGAAUUAACACAGGACUUCCUUCACCAACUUCAUCUAAUGAAUCCUCUGUUACAAGUUAAUUAUUAGAGCAGCGAAAAUUGUUCAAAUGAGUUAGGAAAUUGAAUAGGGAAUUGCUUGCAACAUAGUUCUUUUAAUUUACUAGUAUGAGGAAAAUUAUUUAGAGCCUUUCGGAUGUCCAUUAACAACUUUUAAUUUACUCAAUACACUUUGUUGAUGUAUGGUUGUUAUUUAUUAUUAUAGUUGAUGUAUCAAUACACUUUGUUUAUGUUUUGAA